rnacentral:lncRNA from 1 species
UUAUCUUUUCUUGGUCAUCUUUCACAGACCUCAGGAUUCUUCAUGGUGCCCACUGCAUGUAGAGAUCCAGCACAAAAUCACUGUUGGAUAGCUCAUCCCAGAGGAAUCUCAGAAUGAGAAAAUAGUGAAAAUCAAGUAUAGAACUUGCAACGCCUGGCAGGCAGAGAAAGAAUUGCAUUUGCCAACAGGAUUGCAGUUCCAAUACAGAAGAUGUUAAACUAUGAGUGCCCUGGUAAAUUAACAACUUUACACUUACUGGAAUAGCCAUGAAAGAGUGUUUGACGUUCAUGCAGUUCUGCAGAGAAGGCGGUGCCGCCAGCCUGGGCUGCUGCAAUCCGUGUAAUCCUUGA